GAUGAAUUUGGUGCUUGCACCAAAUGAAACUAGAUACAAGCGAGCGGCGGACGGGUGAGUAACACGUGGGUAACCUGCCCAAGAGACUGGGAUAACACCUGGAAACAGAUGCUAAUACCGGAUAACAACGCUAGACGCAUGUCUAGAGUUUAAAAGAUGGUUCUGCUAUCACUCUUGGAUGGACCUGCGGCGCAUUAGCUAGUUGGUAAGGUAACGGCUUACCAAGGCAAUGAUGCAUAGCCGAGUUGAGAGACUGAUCGGCCACAUUGGGACUGAGACACGGCCCAAACUCCUACGGGAGGCAGCAGUAGGGAAUCUUCCACAAUGGACGCAAGUCUGAUGGAGCAACGCCGCGUGAGUGAAGAAGGGUUUCGGCUCGUAAAGCUCUGUUGGUAGUGAAGAAAGAUAGAGGUAGUAACUGGCCUUUAUUUGACGGUAAUUACUUAGAAAGUCACGGCUAACUACGUGCCAGCAGCCGCGGUAAUACGUAGGUGGCAAGCGUUGUCCGGAUUUAUUGGGCGUAAAGCGAGUGCAGGCGGUUCAAUAAGUCUGAUGUGAAAGCCUUCGGCUCAACCGGAGAAUUGCAUCAGAAACUGUUGAACUUGAGUGCAGAAGAGGAGAGUGGAACUCCAUGUGUAGCGGUGGAAUGCGUAGAUAUAUGGAAGAACACCAGUGGCGAAGGCGGCU
rnacentral:rRNA from 1 species